UACGAAGGGGGCUAGCGUUGUUCGGAAUUACUGGGCGUAAAGCGCACGUAGGCGGAUAUUUAAGUCAGGGGUGAAAUCCCAGAGCUCAACUCUGGAACUGCCUUUGAUACUGGGUAUCUAGAGUAUGGAAGAGGUGAGUGGAAUUCUGAGUGUAGAGGUGAAAUUCGUAGAUAUUCGGAGGAACACCAGUGGCGAAGGCGGCUCACUGGUCCAUUACUGACGCUGAGGUGCGAAAGCGUGGGGAGCAAACAGG
rnacentral:rRNA from 1 species